GCCGGGAGCGGUGGCUCACGCCUGUAGUCCCAGCUACUCGGGAGGCUGAGACAAGAGGAUCGCUUGAGUCCAGGAGUUCUGGGCUGUAGUGCGCUAUGCCGGUCGGGUGUCCGCACUAAGUUCGGCAUCAAUAUGGUGACCUCCCGGGAGCGGGGGGGGGGGGAGGUGGGGGGGCACCAGGUUGCCUAAGGAGGGGUGAACCGGCCCAGGUCGGAAACGGAGCACGUCAAAACUCCCGUGCUGAUCAAUAAUAACACCAGGUCAUUUUUUUUGUGUGUGUGAUUAGGUGACAGAAAGAAAAAUCUGUCUACAU
rfam:Mesocricetus auratus contig098613, whole genome shotgun sequence.